rnacentral:antisense_RNA from 17 species
CUUGACCGAGCCCAGCAGCACCGGUUCGGCCCGGUCCUGCCCGUAGGUGGCCAGGAUCGCCUGCGCCUC